UAGGGAAUCUUCCGCAAUGGACGAAAGUCUGACGGAGCAACGCCGCGUGAGUGAAGAAGGAUUUCGGUUCGUAAAACUCUGUGGUUAGGGAAGAAAAAAUGUAUAGUAACUAUAUACAAAAGAGACGGUACCUAACCAGAAAGCCACGGCUAACUACGUGCCAGCAGCCGCGGUAAUACGUAGGUGGCAAGCGUUGUCCGGAAUUAUUGGGCGUAAAGCGCGCGCAGGUGGUUUAGAAAGUCUGAUGUGAAAGCCCACGGCUCAACCGUGGAGGGUCAUUGGAAACUAAUAAACUUGAGUGCAGGAGAGAAAAGUGGAAUUCCUAGUGUAGCGGUGAAAUGCGUAGAGAUUAGGAGGAACACCGGUGGCGAAAGCGGCUUUUUGGACCAUUACUGACGCUGAGGUGCGAAAGCGUGGGGAGCAAACAGG
rnacentral:rRNA from 1 species